rnacentral:lncRNA from 1 species
CCGGUUUGUUAUUUCUCCCGGUAAACUCACGUAAUUUGCAUGGCCCAAACUCCUUUAUAAAUAAUAGGACCAAUAUGUUUGACUAACAGUUGUCAGACCUUGUAUGAAAAGCAUCAUAUUCACACAAUCGACACACCAUACAAUUUUUAACACGUUUCUCAUAUCAACCUGGCAACCUGUAACACAGUUGCUCAUUUGAUUUCGAGUGAUAAUAAUGGCAGGUGAAGGCGGUGUUCCCGCAAGAAAUCAAAAUAUAGCUGUAAAUGUCAACAGUGUUGGACGCAAAACUUUACAUGCAUCUCAUAUCGACAACCUCCACGCUUUUUGUAAGGUUUGUCCCAUUGAUUUGAAUGUAGCACACGGCGGUAAAAAUGACCCAGCACAUUAAAACACAGCGGCACCAUCGCGCAGAAGAGGCACACAAGCUUAGGGCACGCAGGCGAUUUCAUCAUGAAAGGACAGACAGAGGCGUGACGCAAGCUGAACUCAAGAUGGCAAUGUUGGUAGCACAGAAACAUUUUCCUUUUGCGUUUUGUGACUUCACUGCGAGUGUGGCAGGCAUGUUCCCUGAUUCUGCCACCGCCAGGAACCACUCACCUCAUCAAGGCACCAACCCGCCAAAGCACUGAAUCUACAAGACCACUCCAGUUGGGCCUCCCGAGUGGUGCAGUGGUCUAUGCACUUGCCUGGAACGUCUUAUUGUGUUGCUAUUGAAAGCGUUGCUGAAAGAACCAUGAAGGGGUGCAUCUGGUCUGCAACAUUGUUUAGGUAGGUGGCACGUGUCAAAUUGAUGUCCACAUGAAUGCCCAGACCCAAGAUUGUUUGCUUACCAUCUAAUCUACCCAGACCUUGACAUGUGCCCUUGUUAGGAGAUGAUCAAGGUUAUGUCCUUCACUGGUGAGGGGUCAUAAUGUUUUGUCUCAUGAGUGUAUGAUUAUGUCUAGUGGUGGGAACCAAUGUUGAUUAUAUAAUAUUAAUGAUCACUGAAACAUGUUGGGGUGUAGUUUUUAAUGCAUAUUUUUUCCUCUCUGUUAGUGCUUUAAUUGAAAGUGGAUAAAUGUUCCUGUUGUUAUUAUUUGAAAUAUUAAAU